CCUACGGGAGGCUGCAGUGAGGAAUAUUGGUCAAUGGUCGGGAGACUGAACCAGCCAAGCCGCGUGAGGGAUGAAGGUACAGAGUAUCGUAAACCUCUUUUGUCAGGGAACAAAGGCGGGGACGUGUCCCCGGAUGAGUGUACCUGAAGAAAAAGCAUCGGCUAACUCCGUGCCAGCAGCCGCGGUAAUACGGAGGAUGCGAGCGUUAUCCGGAUUUAUUGGGUUUAAAGGGUGCGCAGGCGGUCUGUUAAGUUAGCGGUAAAAGCCCGGUGCUCAACCCCGGCCCGCCGUUGAAACUGGCAGUCUCGAGUUGGAGAGAAGUAUGCGGAAUGCGCGGUGUAGCGGUGAAAUGCAUAGAUAUCGCGCAGAACGCCGAUUGCGAAGGCAGCAUGCCGGCUCCACACUGACGCUGAGGCACGAAAGCGUGGGUAUCGAACAGGAUUAGAUACCCCAGUAGUC
rnacentral:rRNA from 1 species